rnacentral:rRNA from 1 species
AUUGAACGCUGGCGGCAGGCCUAACACAUGCAAGUCGAGCGGUUGAAGGGAGCUUGCUCCUGGAUUCAGCGGCGGACGGGUGAGUAAUGCCUAGGAAUCUGCCUGGUAGUGGGGGAUAACGUCCGGAAACGGGCGCUAAUACCGCAUACGUCCUGAGGGAGAAAGUGGGGGAUCUUCGGACCUCACGCUAUCAGAUGAGCCUCGGUCGGAUUAGCUAGUUGGUGGGGUAAAGGCCUACCAAGGCGACGAUCCGUAACUGGUCUGAGAGGAUGAUCAGUCAAACGGGAACUGAGACCCGGUCCAGACUCCUACGGGAGGCAGCAGUGGGGAAUAUUGGACAAGGGGCGAAAGCCUGACCCAGCCAGGCCGCGGGGGUGAAGAAGGUCUUCGGAUGGUAAAGCACUUUAAGUUGGGAGGAAGGGCAGUAAGUUAAUACCUUGCUGUUUUGACGUUACCAACAGAAUAAGCACCGGCUAACUUCGUG